rnacentral:rRNA from 1 species
AUUGAACGCUGGCGGCAGGCCUAACACAUGCAAGUCGCACGAGUGGCGGACGGGUGAGUAAUGUCUGGGAAACUGCCUGAUGGAGGGGGAUAACUACUGGAAACGGUAGCUAAUACCGCAUACCAUCAGAAGUGCCCAGAUGGGAUUAGCUAGUAGGUGGGGUAAUGGCUCACCUAGGCGACGCUCCCUAGCUGGUCUGAGAGGAUGACCAGACACAGUGGAACGGAGACACGGGCCAGACUCCUACGGGAGGCAGCAGUGGGGAAUAUUGCACAAUGGGCGAAAGCCUGAUGAAGCCAUGCCGCGUGUGUGAAGAAGGCCUUCGGGUUGUAAAGCACUUUCAGCGAGGAGGCGUUACGCGCAGAAGAAGCACCGGCUAACUCGGUGCCAGCAGCCGCGGUAAUUC